rnacentral:rRNA from 1 species
UGCCCAAGAGAUCGGGAUAACACCUGGAAACAGAUGCUAAUACCGGAUAACAACAGAUGAUGCCUAUCAACUGUUUAAAAGAUGGUUCUGCUAUCACUCUUGGAUGGACCUGCGGUGCAUUAGCUAGUUGGUAGGGUAACGGCCUACCAAGGCGAUGAUGCAUAGCCGAGUUGAGAGACUGAUCGGCCACAUUGGGACUGAGACACGGCCCAAACUCCUACGGGAGGCAGCAGGU